rnacentral:rRNA from 1 species
AUGGGUAAUCACAAGUUCAAUUUAUGUUGUUGGAACGUCAGAGGGCUAGGGCAGACUCAAAAAUGCUCAGACGUGCUCUCCGAGCUCCUGGCCUUCAACCCCCACGCUUGCUUCCUUCAAGAAACCAAACUUAGUUCCAUCAUCGCCCUUAAGCAAAAAACCUUCCUCCCAAAACACUUAGACCUCACUCACUCUCUCCCGGCUUUAGGCUCAGCAGGUGGCAUGAUCUCGGCUUUCUCCUCCUCCCAUUUCGUAGCCCUCGCCUCGGACCAGGAUACUUACACUCUCAGCUCCUCAGUUUCCUGCCUCGCUUCACCACUCCCUCUAAAAAUCACAAACGUCUACGCCCCCACCGACCAUGCCCUCAAACAAUCCUUCCUAACUGAGCUUGCAGCCGCUGCCCCCUCUCCCUCCACUCCCUGGUUGAUUUUAGGCGAUUUCAACCUUCUGCGCCAGCCCUCCGACAAAAAUAUGACCCACUUUAGGCAGGCCGAAGCUGACAUGUUUAAUGAUUUCAUCCAUCAGCAUGCGCUGAUUGAACUCCCCCUUCUUGACCGUCGCUUCACUUGGUCGAGCAAACGCGAUGAACCCACUCUCGAAAAAAUUGAUCGAGUCUUCAUUAAUGUUGAUUGGGACCUACUCUUUUCGAACACCACGAUCGCCUCCCGCACCCGCUUCAUCUCCGAUAAC